GGUGUUUAUCAAGCAACUACUAUACACAGGACCUUGUUUGGGUUUUGCUUUGUUUGCAGAGCUGGGGAUUGAAACGCCAAGCGGGAGCUCCAUCCCUGAGCCACACCUCCAGCCCAGGAUCUGUUCUAGGACCUGCAGACACAGCCUCAACCGGACAGCCUCCCAGCCUGGCUCAGGUCCCCUGCGGUCACUCCUGGAGUUCCCAGCAUUCCACUUCACUGCAAAAGACAUCCCAGGAAAAUUGAGCUCCGGUAACAUGUCGCAGACUCGGCUUCUCCCUGCUGUAAGCGGGCAGAGGUGCCCUCCUGGCUGCCCAGCGGAGCUCCUAAGGCCCAGCCGCCCCCUUGCCCCACUCGCCCCAGGGAGCCCAGCGCAGCACCCCAGGCCUGGAACAAGGAGCCUCUCAGGAAACGUUGGUGGAUCAAAUAAAUGAGCCGUCGUGUCGCCUGCUUCUGGAACCAGAAUGAAAGGAAUCCAGUGAGUGCGUGCAAGGGCACGUGCCUGCGCAGACUGUGAUGUGUGACGUUGAAAUAAAGAGCAAAGUUGUGGAAGGAUAAAAAGGGUU
rnacentral:lncRNA from 1 species